rnacentral:rRNA from 1 species
CAGCCGCCACGGUAAUACGUAGGGUGCGAGCGUUAAUCGGAAUUACUGGGCGUAAAGCGUGCGUAGGCGGUUUGUUAAGUCUGUUGUGAAAUCCCCGGGCUCAACCUGGGAAUGGCAAUGGAUACUGGCAAGCUAGAGUGUGUCAGAGGAUGGUGGAAUUCCCGGUGUAGCGGUAAAAUGCGUAGAGAUCGGGAGGAACAUCAGUGGCGAAGGCGGCCAUCUGGGACAACACUGACGCUGAGGCACGAAAGCGUGGGGAGCAAACAGGAUUAGAUACCCCGGUAGUCCCUGUCUCUUAUAC